UCAUGAUUUCUGUUUAUGUGGCGUUUGAGGCUAAAUUUUGGGCCAAAAUGAUGAAAUGUGCAUAUAUAUCAACUUCCCAAGUUAAAAUCAGGAUAUCUCUUUCUAAGUCCUAAACAACAAAUUUAUGCUGCUGCAAUCAACAUUUCAGUGUGAGAACCAGGAUGUCUUCGGCAAAGCUCAUGUUCCUGCUAGCAUUGUCGGUGUUCGUGCAAAUAUUAUGCGCUGAAAAAACACAAGAUACUUACAGUGAUGGCUUAGCUCCACCAAAUGCAUGUGCAAAUUGUACCCUCUGUCAGUAUCCCUGCAAUGCUCAACCUCCUCCUCCAUCAGGGUACGAAUCGUAUGGUGCUCCACCACCUCCUCUUCCUCCUGCUCAGGUCAAUUGCCCACCGUCAGCUCCUGUGCAGUGCUGCCAAUAUUCGCCUCCAGCGCCUUACUCUUAUUAUCCAUAUAACAAUUAUACUGGUUCAUCAUGCUUGCCGAUCAAGCCCUCUACUUCAACAUGGUUUUUAGCUAUUUUCUUCUUCUCAAUAAUAAUGCUGGAUUUUGAAGUUUGAAGGUUCGUCGUGGCUAGGAAAGUCUAAAGGUCAAUAUUUUCUUCCACUGUAAAGAAAGAAGGAAAAAAGAAUGUUGAUGUUCCGUAGAAUAAUAUCUAGAUUUUGAACUGCAUUUGGCUGGUUUGAAGUAAGAUCAUUUCCUCAUUCCUUUGAAAUUGUUCUCCACCUCUUGCCUUUAUUGGCUAAUCUGUAUCAGAAUUUGCAACUUGUAAUGAUAUUGUUGAUUACUUGCCUUGUGGAUAGAUUCUUCUGUUUUUAUACACGCAUCUAAGUCAUCUCGAAGAAUGAACAUAAAAGGAAGUCCACAAGAGUGCUUUCAAUCAAUUUAAGUAAGCUGAAUCUGCAUACUAGCUCCAUAAAAAAGAUUUUUACUUUCUUGUUUGAUUUCAUUCCUUGAUUUCACAGAUCUUAAAUGCAAAUCCAUAGAUCUGCACUAUAAUUGUUCUAGCCCGUAUGACCUCAAUUUGUGAAGUAGCAGAGGCAGCCAAGAAAAGAAUGAAUGGCUUGAUUGAGAACAAUAUUUUGAAAGUUUUAAAAAAGAUAUGGUGUCAUGUAGAGCUUAUGGAUUGCUGUAAGGGAUAAUUUUAGAAACCUCAGGUUUCUAACAAUAUCAUCCGUCACAUUUAAAGUUUCAAAAAUUUUACUUAAACUCUCUUAUUUUUAAAAUUUUGUAACAUUUUUAACCCAAUUCAUUAUGUACUAUUAAAAUAUUCAUUUUAAAAAAGAGAACAGUUUCUUUCCAAAAUUGCCCUUUGAUUUCCUAACCAUUACAAAAUAAAAGGUAUAUUAAUCAAAAGUUAAAAACAAAGAUAAAAGUAUGAAAAAAAAAGUAUGAAGAUGUAAAUACAAAAAAAAUAUUUAUUUAAAAUGCUUUUAAACUAGAAAAAGAGUUUUUUUGUCUUUUUUAUGCAUAUCGAUGGCUUGUAAAUUACAAAAAGGAAAGUGUUUAAAAUUAAAUUUAUAAAUUAUUUGAGAUGGGUUAAAAAAUUAAUUUGAACUGCUCGUAAGAUGCAGAAAAAAGUUAUCACAUAUAUAGUAUUAUGGAUGAAUUUUAUGUGUUUUGUAAAUUAUUCAUAAGUUGUAAAAUUUUAACAUUCUUUGUUCAAAUUAUAAAAUAAAUUUUCUUAAAGGAUCUCCAAAUUCAAUAAAAAUUUAUAAUUUUCCAUUAAAGAAGCAAAUUGAUAAAUUUUCAAAUGCAAAGAGAUUUCAAAUUAGUCUGUCAUAACAAUUAAGGGAACACAAAAAAAGGACAACUUUGGAAUGAAAUUAUCGAUGGAUUCUAUACACUCCAAAUAUGAAUUUUUUAGUAUUACAUUUUGAAUUGGGUUGAUAAUGUUAUAAAAGUUUAAAAAUAAAGGAGGCAAAUGAUAUUUUUGAAACUUCAAAAGUGCUAGGUGAUAUUGCUAGAAACUUGAAGGGAGGUUUCUAAAAUUAUCCCCCUUGUUGUAAAUCUGUCUAUUUAGCUUUUAGCCAGUAAAUUUGGUACUUUGAAAAGCUGUAUUACCUAUAAUCUUCCUCUCCAUCCGUCAAUAUAUAUAUAUAUAAACUUCCUCUCCAUAUUUAGUCACCAUUCAAGAAAAAUACUUGUGAAGCAAAUUAUUAAAGUCAUCCAUUUCUUUUCUUUCACCACAAACUUAUUUUUUUUUUAUUUUCCUGACCAACAGGCAAUAAUCACCGUUGGUUGUAAUUUCUACAUAGAUCCCCCAUAUGCUUUGAAGUAAAGUGAUAAUGAAGUGGAAAUCCAUCCAAAACUGUUUUCAUCAAGUGACCUGCAUGCCCAAAUGGAAUGAUAUGUAAGUAAUCGCAUUAGCCUUUAUGUAAUUGUAUGGUUGACUUUUGAGAUUCAUAGUGUAGAUGGAACUUUUUGGAGGAUUACAACUAUUGAAAUGUUUGCGUUUAAACUAGGACUGUCAACGGGCCGAGUUCGGGCCGGAAUUCAUUAUUCUGGACCCGGACCCGAAUUACUAUGCCGGAUCCGGAUCCGACCCGUUUACCCGACGGGUCUUUUAUUCUAUGUUCCGGAUCCGGAUCCGACGGGUCCCGGAUCCGGAUCCGGGUCUACCCGAACAAAUUUACCAAAAUUUAUAAUUUCUAAUAAAAAUGAGAAAAAAAAAAUUGUAAACUAAUUUCUAACUAAUGCAAAGAAAAAACCAAAUAAGAAAAGAAAUCAAAUUAACUUUAUUAAAAUACAUCACCCUAAUCAAAUUAUAUUGAUAAAUAUAUAUUUUUUAAAUUAUUAAUUCAUUUAUAUCCGGAUCCGGUUCUAAUACGGGUCGGAAUACUAUAUUCCGUAUCCGACCCGUUUUUUUGUUUGACAAAACGGAUCCGGAUCCGGAUCCGGGAAACGGAAUUAAAUCCCUACCCAUACCCGCAAUAAUUUCACGGAUCCGGUCCGGAUCCGGGUCUAGAUCCGACCCGUUGACAGGCCUAGUUUAAACGCAUAUAAAAAUGAAAUUCGAGUGAUUUCGAAUUUGUCGAUUCACGCACUCUAAAUUUUUUCCUUUUUAUAAAUCGUAACAUUGAGAUAAUAAAGUUCCUUUCCAACAAGCGCGACAAUGAAAACACAAAAACACUUUAAUUAUUAGUAUAUUAAUAUUUGAUUAAUAAUUAUGCAAACAACUCAAAGCAAUAACAAGCCGCCAACAUCAUCUCAAUCAUCCAAAAUUUUCUUCAAUAUUUUGAGACCCUCUGGAUACACCAUUCUUGGUUUGAGUUUUGUUUAACCUAUUGGGUAUUUCAUUUAAUCAAGUGCCCAGAACAAACUAAAAAUGGAUGCCUGUGAUAUAUAUAUAUAUAUAUAUAAGUUUUUUGCUAAAAUAACACUCUUUCUAAAAAAUAUUCUCAAUAUGAUUCACUCUCAAACUUUAUUCCCAUAAUGAUGUUAUUAUUACCACCUUAUUAUCCUGAUUGCCACAUAGGAUAAUAAGAAAGGAAAGUUUUGAUCUAGUUUAUAGUUUCCAACAUGAGCUAAAAUUUUUAAUUUUUUUUAAUCAUAGAGACACAAUAAGAUUACAUAACUUUGAUAAUUUUUCUUAUAAUUAUUUAAAAUAAAUUCUAUCAUUAUUGACUUUACUAUGAUUAGUCUCUACAUUUUUCUUGAAAUGAAUCAAACCUAUUGCAUAUAUUUUUUCAAAAAUUAAAUUUGAAAAAUUCAAAAAUUGCAACAAAAAUUUUAAGCAAUAACAAGAAAAAGUUACAAAAACUUCAAGGUUAUCAUAUUUGUUUAUAUUAUCCUUCUUACUCUUUGAAAAAAA
rnacentral:lncRNA from 1 species